rnacentral:rRNA from 1 species
CCCUGUGUCUAUAGAGAGGAGGUCACACCCAGCUCCAUUCCGAACCUGGAAGUUAAGCUCCUCAUCGCUGAUGAUACUGCACUUUUCAAGUGUGGGAAUGUAGGUCGAUGCAGGGUU